rnacentral:rRNA from 1 species
UACGUAGGGGACAAGCGUUGUCCGGAAUCAUUGGGCGUAAAGAGCGUGUAGGCGGCCAGAUAAGUCCGCUGUGAAAACUCGAGGCUCAACUUCGAGCUGUCGGCGGAAACUAUCUGGCUAGAGUCCGGAAGAGGAGAGUGGAAUUCCUGGUGUAGCGGUGAAAUGCGCAGAUAUCAGGAAGAACACCCGUGGCGAAGGCGGCUCUCUGGGACGGUACUGACGCUGAAGACGCGAA